rnacentral:tRNA from 1 species
GGAGAGGUGGCCGAGUGGUUUAAGGCAGCAGUCUUGAAAACUGCCGUAGGUUUACGCCUACCGUGGGUUCGAAUCCCACCCUCUCCGCCA